rnacentral:rRNA from 1 species
AGGAUGAACGCUGGCGGCGUGCUUACACAUGCAAGUCGAACGAGAAAGCUCCUUCGGGAGUGAGUACAGUGGCGAACGGGUGCGUAACACGUUGGUGACCUGCCUUGAGGAGGGGGACAACCGUGGGAAACCACGGCUAAUACCCCGGAUGUCUAAACUGUUAGAGGGUUUAGACUAAAACUUCGGUGCCUCAAGAGGGGCCUGCGGGCUAUCAGCUUGUUGGUGGGGUAAUGGCCUACCAAGGCUAAGACGGCUAGGGGGCGUGAGAGCGCGACCCCCCACAAUGGAACUGAGACACGGUCCAUACUCCUACGGGAGGCAGCAGUGAGGAAUAUUGCGCAAUGGGGGAAACCCUGACGCAGCAACGCCGCGUGAACGAUGAAGGCCUUCGGGUCGUAAAGUUCUUUUCUAAGGGAAGAUAGUGACGGUACCUUAGGAAUAAGUCCCGGCUAACUACGUGCCAGCAGCCGCGGUAAAACGUAGGGGGCGAGCGUUAUCCAGAUUUAUUGGGCGUAAAGCGCACGUAGGUGGCGCUGUAAGUUAGACGUGAAAGCUCUCGGCUCAACUGAGAGAGGUCGUUUAAAACUGCAGUGCUUGAGGUUAGAAGAGGAGAGCAGAAUUCCCGGUGUAGUGGUGGAAUGCGUAGAUAUCGGGAGGAAUACCAGUGGCGAAGGCGGCUCUCUAGUCUACACCUGACACUGAGGUGCGAAAGCGUGGGUAGCGAACGGGAUUAGAUACCCCGGUAGUCCACGCUGUAAACGAUGGAUACUAGGUGUAGGGGGUCAUUUAACCCCUCUGUGCCGAAGCAAACGCGUUAGGUAUCCCGCCUGGGGACUACGGCCGCAAGGUUAAAACUCAAAGGAAUUGACGGGGGCCCGCACAAGCAGCGGAGCGUGUGGUUUAAUUCGAUGAAAUACGCGAAGGAACCUUACACUGGGCUGAACUACGUGGUAGUAGUGGAGCGAAAGCGGAUCGACCCUUCGGGGAGCCUCGAUAGGUGCUGCAUGGCUGUCGUCAGCUCGUGUCGUGAGAUGUUGGGUUAAGUCCCGCAACGAGCGCAACCCUCGUCGCUAGUUACAAGUGUCUAGCGAGACUGCCGGUAUCAAACCGGAGGAAGGUGGGGAUGACGUCAAGUCAGCAUGGUCUUUAUGUCCAGGGCUACACACACGCUACAAUGGUCGGUACAAUAGGUUGCCACACCGCGAGGUGGAGCUAAUCCUCAGAGCCGAUCUCAGUUCGGAUUGUAGUCUGCAACUCGACUACAUGAAGGCGGAGUUGCUAGUAACCGCGCGUCAGCAUAGUGCGGUGAAUGCGUUCCCGGGCCUUGUACACACCGCCCGUCACAUCAUGGGAGUCGGUAACACCUGAAGUCGGUGACCUAACCGAAAGGG